CAUAUCAAUAAGCGGAGGAAAAGAAACUAACAAGGAUUCCCCUAGUAACUGCGAGUGAAGCGGGAAAAGCUCAAAUUUAAAAUCUGGCGGUCUUUGGCCGUCCGAGUUGUAGUCUGGAGAAGUGUUUUCCGCGUUGGACCGUGUACAAGUUUCCUGGAACGGAGCGUCAUAGAGGGUGAGAAUCCCGUCUUUGACACGGACCCCAAUGCUUUGUGAUGCGCUCUCAAAGAGUCGAGUUGUUUGGGAAUGCAGCUCAAAAUGGGUGGUGAAUUCCAUCUAAAGCUAAAUAUUGGCGAGAGACCGAUAGCGAACAAGUACCGUGAGGGAAAGAUGAAAAGCACUUUGGAAAGAGAGUUAAACAGUACGUGAAAUUGUUGAAAGGGAAACGCUUGAAGUCAGUCGCGUCGGCCGGGACUCAGCCUUGCAUUCGCUUGGUGUACUUUCCGGUCGACGGGCCAGCAUCAAUUUUGACCGCGGGAUAAAGGUGGGGGAAAUGUGGCUCUUCGGAGUGUUAUAGUCCCUUGCCGCAUGCCGCGGUUGGGAUUGAGGAACUCAGCACGCCUUUAUGGCCGGGGUUCGCCCACGUACGUGCUUAGGAUGCUGGCGUAAUGGCUUUAAACGACCCGUCUUGAAACACGGACCAAGGAGUCUAACAUGCCUGCGAGUGUUCGGGUGGAAAACCCGUGCGCGCAAUGAAAGUGAAAGUUGGGAUCCCUGUCGUGGGGUGCACCGACGCCCGGACCAGACCUUCUGUGACGGAUCCGCGGUAGAGCAUGUAUGUUGGGACCCGAAAGAUGGUGAACUAUGCCUGAAUAGGGUGAAGCCAGAGGAAACUCUGGUGGAGGCUCGUAGCGAUUCUGACGUGCAAAUCGAUCGUCAAAUUUGGGUAUAGGGGCGAAAGACUAAUCGAACCAUCUAGUAGCUGGUUCCUGC
rnacentral:rRNA from 1 species